ACCAUGAAGGCAGAAAUGAUCCCAACUCUGGCCACCCCCAGCAGUCUGUCCCGGGAAGAGCUCUGGCCACCUGGGCCUAUCUGCAGAGUUUACCAGCAAGCUCAGCUAUCCCUGUACACCGCCGGGGCCCUGGACACCGUGGAUUCUCAGGGCCAGAGCCUGGCUUGGCCCCCACCCAGCACCACAGCAAGGCCAGCUCUCUGGGGCCUGGGGUUGCUCCCCCUCUGGGAAGGUCACACGCACUAGCCCAGGCUGCAUUCCCAGGCACAGGGGAGGAUCCUCCCUUCUGCUGCCCUGCAUGGCAGGCCAGCAAUCUUGGGGCUGCCCUGGCCCGGCCUGGGGACGCCCACCUUGUGUCCUCCCCACGCCUGACCUGACUGAGACUGGCCGCCCAGAGGCUCCCCUUGGAGCACUCCCGCAGCUGGCUACUGUCACAGAGACGCAGACCUGCCUCCCCUGGGAAAGCCAGCCGGCAGGGCAGGGACUGACUCAUCCCUGGCAUCCUAGGGGGACGGGGGUUGUUGAAAGGUGUCCCCAGGGGUCCAUACGGACUUUGGAUGUGAUUCCAAGUUAUCCAAGCACAGCCAUUCCUGAGAAGCCGGGGACGGAACCAACAUCCAACUACUGGCCAGGAAAUGCUCGAUGUCUACUCCUCUACCAAGCAUUUAUUGGGCACCUACUGCAUACUCAGCACCGAGGGAGACUCCAAGGUACCAGCCACGCCAGGUCCUGGCCAGGUGCCACGAAGAUCCCACCCCGACGGCCCAAGGUGCAGGACAGCUGGGGAGCAGGAAAUGUGGAUGGACCUGGAGACCGUGGUGCUGAGCAGACGAGACCAGAGUGAGGAAGACAAACAUCUCAUGUGUUCCCCUGAUACGUGGGAUCUGAAGAAGAUGGCAUGGAAGCAGAGGGAGAUGAUUUUUAGACAAGAGAAGGGACGAAUGUGCUGGCAUGUAAGGGAGGAGUGGGGAGAAUGUGAGCAGAAGGUAUUUUACACACUGAACCCCUGUCUUUAAUAAAAAUACUA